UACGAAGGGGGCUAGCGUUGCUCGGAAUGACUGGGCGUAAAGAGCGUGUAGGCGGCCAGAAAAGUCCGCUGUGAAAACUCGAGGCUCAACUUCGAGCUGUCGGUGGAAACUUUCUGGCUAGAGUCCGGAAGAGGAGAAUGGAAUUCCUGGUGUAGCGGUGAAAUGCGCAGAUAUCAGGAAGAACACCCGUGGCGAAGGCGGUUCUCUGGGACGGUACUGACGCUGAGACGCGAAAGCGUGGGGAGCGAACAGG
rnacentral:rRNA from 1 species